rnacentral:rRNA from 1 species
CCUACGGGAGGCAGCAGUGAGGAAUAUUGGUCAAUGGUCGCAAGACUGAACCAGCCAUGCCGCGUGCAGGAAGACGGCCCUAUGGGUUGUAAACUGCUUUUAUAUAGGAAGAAACCUUUUUACGUGUAGAAAGCUGACGGUACUAUAUGAAUAAGCACCGGCUAACUCCGUGCCAGCAGCCGCGGUAAUACGGAGGGUGCAAGCGUUAUCCGGAUUUAUUGGGUUUAAAGGGUCCGUAGGCGGACUUAUAAGUCAGUGGUGAAAUCCUGCAGCUCAACUGUAGAACUGCCAUUGAUACUGUAAGUCUUGAAUUCGGUUGAAGUGGGCGGAAUAUGGCAUGUAGCGGUGAAAUGCUUAGAUAUGCCAUAGAACACCGAUUGCGUAGGCAGCUCACUAAGCCUGGAUUGACGCUGAGGGACGAAAGCGUGGGUAGCGAACAGGAUUAGAUACCCUGGUAGUCCACGCCGUAAACGAUGAUUACUCGACAUUAGCGAUAUACGGUUAGUGUNAUAAGAGAAGANAUUAAGUAAUACCACCGUGGGAGGUACGAGUCGCGAGAGUUAGUAAACGUACGAAAGUAGUAGUUAGUACGGACGUAGAGACGUUGCCGACGGACGACGACGAGGGGAGGUAGGG